rnacentral:rRNA from 1 species
UACGUAGGGGGGCAAGCGUUGUCCGGAUUUAUUGGGCGUAAAGAGCGUGUAGGCGGCCUGAAAGGUCAGCUGUGAAAACUCGGGGGCUCAACCCCGAGACGUCGGUUGAAACCAUCUGGCUAGAGUCCGGAAGAGGAGUGUGGAAUUCCCGGUGUAGCGGUGAAAUGCGCAGAUAUCGGGGAAGAACACCCCGGUGGCGAAGGCGGCACUCUGGGACGGUACUGACGCGUGAGACGCGAAAAGCGUGGGGAGCGAACAGG